rnacentral:lncRNA from 1 species
UUUAAGCUCCUUUUUGAGCUCUUCCAUGAGUUCUUUCUGGGCUUGAGACCAUUUCCCAUUUUUCUUUGGGGUUUUGCCCAUAGGUGUUUUGACAUUGUUGUCCUCUUCUGAGUUUGUGUCUUGGUCUUCCCUGUCACCAUAAUCACUUUCUGUGGUCAGAUUCUUUUUUUUUUUGCUGUUAUUAUUUGCUCCUCUUUUUUUGUAGGGGCUAUUUUUUCCUUUCUUUGAAAUUUGAGCUCUAUGCCAAGGAUAGAAGAGGCACUGUCCCAGGCUCCUUGUGCCAGUGGCUACCAACCCUGGCUGUUUACUUGGUGCUUCAUUGAUGUUGCCCUGAGGCCCUUGAGGGACCCUCGUUUCUGGUGAUGUACUGAGGGAGUAGAGUGGGGGUUGCCUGGAGCUGCUGGAGACUGUAGGGAUCUGGUGAUUCACCUGGUGCUUAGGUGCAGUCCUAGUGGUAGUAUCUGGUGUGUGCUGAGAGUGUUUAUGCAUUUCCCUGGGGCUACACUGAAAUACAUGAAAGUCUAGCUGCUGUACCAUCCUGUUUGCCAGGGGCUAUGCUGAAGCAUGUGGAGGUCUGAUCUCUGGGGGAUGCUUAUUUGCCUUUGUAUAUUCUGCCUUGAAUGCUCUGAUACUGCUUUCUCUUUUAGACCAGAACUUUGGCAGGGCCACAUUGGGACUAGCCAGGCCUCAGACUAAAUGUCCUUUAGAGCUCAAAGGUUGAAUUUAUGAAAAAUAUUAAUGAAAUUAUGGGAGGACAGAGCCAACUUAAGAAUGGGGUGCAUUGGAUACCUUACCUCUAUAGAAAAUACAAUUCAGAAGUCAAAAUCAGAAAACAAAAACAUUUAGCGCAAGAUAAUUUCAUAGAGAGAACAGAUAAGGUCAUCAAAGAAAAUACCUACAUUUAGAACAUGGGAAACUGGAAAAAUUGUACUGUUACUUGAAGAAAUAAUUAAGUAAGAAUGAACACCAAGUUUUGGAGUAAAGACAGCAAGUAAAUUUGUAUAUGUUGGUUUUUAGUUGCUGAUGGGUCAUCUUGGCAGGGAUAACCUUGACACAGAGCAACUUCAGUAAAAUCUUGAGGUUACCUAUAUUGUUAGGCUAAGACUGGUAAAUAUCCUUAAUUUUAUGUAUGACUUGGUUAUAUCAUAUAUAAUUUGUAUUAGUCAUUUUAAAGAUCUUUUCUCAUUUUUAGCUUAUAAUACUUGUUCAUUUUAG